rnacentral:rRNA from 1 species
CCUACGGGCGACAGCAGUGGGGGAUAUUGCACAAUGGGGGGAACCCUGAUGCAGCGACGCCGCGUGGGUGAAGAAGCGCCUCGGCGCGUAAAGCCCUGUCAGCAGGGAAGAAAAUGACGGUACCUGAAGAAGAAGCCCCGGCUAACUACGUGUCAGCAGCCGCGGUCAUACGUAGGGGGCAAGCGUUAACCGGGUUUACUGGGUGUAAAGGGGGCGGAGACGGCGAUGCAAGCCAGGAGUGAAAGCCCGGGGCUCAAACCCGGGACUGCUCUUGGUACUGCGUGGCGGGAGUGUAGGAGGGGCAGGCGGAAUUCCUGGUGUAGCGGUGAAAUGCGUAGAUAUCAGGAGGAACACCGGUGGCGAAGGCGGCCUGCUGGACUGCAACUGACGUUGAGGCCCGAAAGCGUGGGGAGCAAACAGGAUUAGAUACCCGGGUAGUC